CAGUGAAAUGCGGCCGGCAACGCCGGGAUUUCAUACCGUGGCGUCGAGCUUCGCAGCGCAACACCAUAUCUACUAUAGACACCGCGGCGAGUGCGAACAGCUUGCUCAGCCAGCGUGACCCUUCUACCAAUACAUUUACGCCUCCACAUUUGGCAUCCGCUGGAAGUUUGUGUUGCUGUGGAGGUCAAAGCUGAUGACGUCAUCGAGGAACGCCGCCUGCAUAUAGGGGACCCAAGGCGGCCGUAUGAUUAGGGCAUCGCUGAGAAGUGCACGGCUUCCUUUGAUACGGAACAUUUAACGUCCUGAAAAUGCGCAACGGGCCAUGAGGGAAGCCGUAGUGGAGGACUACGGACACAUUUUGACCACUUGGUGUUCCUUAACGUGCACCAAAAGCUCGACACGUGACCGUUCUUGCGUUCCUACAUCGGAAUCUGCCAUUCUUCAUCGCGUACUGCACCUGCGACCCCGUGCUUAGCAGCGUAAAGUCGAAAUUCAACCACCGUGGCAGGUUU